UUGGAGGGCAAGUCUGGUGCCAGCAGCCGCGGUAAUUCCAGCUCCAAUAGCGUAUAUUAAAGUUGUUGCAGUUAAAAAGCUCGUGGUUGAAUUUCGGGGUCAGUAGGUUGGUCAUGCCACUGGUAUGUACUGGUCUCACUGAUUCCUCCUUCCUGAUGAGCCGUAAUGCCAUUAAUUUGGUGUUGCGAGGAAUCUGGACUGUUACUUUGAAAAAAUUAGAGUGUUUAAAGCAGGCUAACGCUUGAAUACAUUAGCAUGGAAUAAUGAAAUAGGACGUUCGAUCUUAUUUUGUUGGUUUCUAAGAUUGACGUAAUGAUUAAUAGGGAUAGUUGGGGGCAUUAGUAUUCAAUUGUCAGAGGUGAGAUUCUUGGAUUUAUUGAAGACUAACUACUGCGAAAGCAUUUGCCAAGGAUGUUUUCAUUAAUCAAGAACGAAAGUUAGGGGAUCGAAGACGAUCAGAUACCGUCGUAGUCUUAACCAUAAACUAUGCCGACUAGGGAUCGGAUGAUGUUAAUUUUUUAAUGACUCAUUCGGCGCCUUACGGGAAACCAAAGUGUUUGGGUUC
rnacentral:rRNA from 1 species